rnacentral:tRNA from 1 species
GGCACGGUGGCUCAGUGGUUAGCACUGUUGCCUCACAACAAGAAGGUCCUGGGUUUGAAUCCUGGCUGUCCCA